rnacentral:rRNA from 1 species
GUGGGGAAUAUUGCGCAAUGGGCGAAAGCCUGACGCAGCGACGCCGCGUGAGGGAUGAAGGUUUUCGGAUCGUAAACCUCUGUCAGAAGGGAAGAAACUACGUUGUGCUAAUCAGCAGCGUACUGACGGUACCUUCAAAGGAAGCACCGGCUAACUCCGUGCCAGCAGCCGCGGUAAUACGUAGGGUGCAAGCGUUAAUCGGAAUUACUGGGCGUAAAGCGCACGUAGGCUGUAGUGUAAGUCAGGGGUGAAAUACCACGGCUCAACCGUGGAACUGCCUUGGAUACUGCACAACUUGAAUCCGGGAGAGGGUGGCGGAAUUCCAGGUGUAGGAGUGAAAUCCGUAUAUAUCUGGAGGAACAUCAGUGGCGACGGCGGCCACCUGGACCGGUAUUGACGCUGAGGUGCGAAAGCGUGGGGAGCAAACAGGAUUAGAAACCCUUGUAGUCC